GGAACCUGCUGACAUGUGAUGUGUGCCCCGGAUACCCAGCUUUAAAAUUUCUCUCUUUUGUACUCUUUCCCUUUAUUUCUCAGACCGUCCAACACUUAGGGAAAUAGAAAAGAACCUACAUGAAAUAACAUUGAAUUAUUUGGGGUGGGUUCUCCUGAUAUCUGGCCCACCAACAUGGUUUUUUCUUUUUCCCAAGUGCAUGUGGGAACCCGAUUCCCUUUGGUAGGUGCAGAGAAACGUCAUCGGUUUGGUCCACAGAAAUGCUUGUUCGACUCCCUGACGACUGGAAACCCAUGCUAAGACAACACUGGCAGUGGCCCUGGAAAAGUAAACCUCAUGAUGGAUUUGGAGUUGGAUUGUUCACUGAUCUGAAGGACAGAGGACUCCACUUAAGUGUCCACCAGGGUUGACCAGACUUGGAGAACUGACUCUCAUAAAUUGAACUCACCAAAACCUGAGGUAAACUGAGCUACCUGAAGUUUAGACAGUGAUCAGACCUACUAGUUUCCUGCAAAAAGACAAUGGACUUCCCUGUGGAGUAGGAAGGUGGGCCACCUGACCACCCUCACCGUGGAAAGGGCUCCUCAGCUGCAUACACACCAACAUCAGAUUGCCUUUGCCAGGCUGGCAACGAAAUAUUUUGUGUUAAUAAAAUUUUCUGUAAUAAUUCUGUUAAGCCACAGGAUAAACUUAUGUCAAACUGAUUAUUUCUGAGAGGUGAGCUUUUAGGUAGUUUUUGCUUUCAUGUUUAGCUUCUCUGUGGCUUUUCUACU
rnacentral:lncRNA from 1 species